rnacentral:rRNA from 1 species
CUACGGGCGGCAGCAGUGGGGAAUAUUGCGCAAUGGGGGAAACCCUGACGCAGCAACGCCGUGUGAGGGAUGAAGGCUUUCGGGUCGUAAACCUCUGUCAGGCAGGACGAAACAUCUAAACAUGAAUAAUGUUUAGAUCUGACGGUACUGCCAGAGGAAGUCCCGGCUAACUCCGUGCCAGCAGCCGCGGUAAUACGGAGGGGACAAACGUUGUGCGGAAUUAUUGGGCGUAAAGAGCGCGUAGGUGGUCAGAAAAGUCAGACGUGAAAUACCCUGCUCAACAGAGGAAGGGCGUUUGAAACUCUCCGGCUUGAGUGUGGGAGAGGAGAGUGGAAUUCCCAGUGUAGCGGUGAAAUGCGUAGAUAUUGGGAAGAACACCAGUGGCGUAGGCGGCUCUCUGGCCCAUUACUGACACUGAGGCGCGAAAGCUAGGGGAGCAAACGGGAUUAGAUACCCGAGUAGUC